AAUUUUGGUCACUCACAGUAUCAUUUAUUCUAGGCUUAAGUCAUAUGUGGCUCCUUAAAGUUGUCUGUAUAAUUCACUUAGACACCUUAACAGACCUUGUUUCCUAUUAGACACUCCAAUCUUUAAAAAAUAAAUAUCUAUUGAACAUUUUUCUGACACUUAGUCUAAAGAGAAAGUGUGUGUAAUACACAUACAUAUGAGGUGGCAAAAUGACAAAUCAAAUGAAGACAUGUGGCAUUUUAAUUUAAAAUAAAUGAAUUUUGAAUAUAAUAAAACCCUAAAAGAAUAUACUUUAAACUAAAAAAAUAAAAAUUAUACACCCCUAACCACACCCCACCCCCACCCCACGCCCGCACCCCACCCACCUCAAAUCUCUCCAUUUCUUCUAUUUCCUUAACAGAACUACCUUGUCCACCAUUGUUAACCUCCAUUUAGAAAAAUUAGAGGUUUUAACAUAUAUUAUGUAUGAAUUUAUUAUUUUUAUUUCUCUUUAUGCCUUCUUUCUUAUUUUCAUUUAAAUUGAUAUUGUUUUCUUAAAAGAUUCGUUUUUUUUAUUUUUUUUUAUUUCAAUUUUUAUUUUUUCUGUUCGAUUUGUGAGGGAGAAGGGUUUGUGGGGGAGAGGUGAAGAGGGAGAGAGAAAAUAUUUAAAUAAUAAUCUCCAUUUUUUCCGGAAAAGAAGAUAUGGAUGGUCUCCAUUUUUUCCGGCAAAGAAGAUGUAGAUAAUAAUCUCCAUUUUAUUUGAUAAAGAACUAGUGAUCUCCAUCUUUUUUCUACGGAAGUGACAGUAAGAUGAUUUAAAAAAAGAAAGAAGGAAAUUUGUGGGGAAAAAAUGGUGAUGGAUUGUAUUGAAGAAGUGGUUGCAAUAGGUGUGUGGUUUUAAAAGAGAGGAAGAAGAAAAAGAUUGUUAUUUUUUUAAAACAAUAAUGAGAAAUAAAAAGAAAAUAUUGAAAAG
rnacentral:lncRNA from 1 species